ACAACGUUUAGCGAAUGCGAGUCUCCAUCGUACUCCCGCAGCUGCAGAGCGACGCAGAAAAUCCUAGCGAGCUUCAAAGAUGGGACACUCGAACGGAUGGAACUCUCACCCCAAGAACUACGGCCCCGGUUCCCGCACUUGCCGAGUGUGUGGAAACCCUCAUGGGUUGAUCCGGAAGUAUGCGCUGAUGUGCUGCAGGCAGUGCUUCCGCAGCAAUGCCAAGGAGAUUGGCUUCAUCAAGAGACAGAACCAGAAUCAUGUCAGACAACCUGAACGAUACCAGAAUCUUGUCAGACAAGCUUAACGAUAGCACCCGAAAACGAAAGAGGUAUAUCAAGCUUUAUGGGAAGUGUCAAUUCCAUUACGAGAUACACUGCGACAACAAUGACAAUAUCUCUGAACUCACAUAGGAGAAUGACAGCUCCCAAUUUUUAACAGCAGUGGAAUUUCCCUCUUCACAACGAGAGGAGGUUAGCCACUACUCCCUUUUCGAGUCACUCAUCUCGCUUUCCUCAGAGCGUAUGGUGCCUCGAAGAGAGACCAAACUGGCGGAAAGCUCUUCAUAUUUUACCAGUAAUUUGAGGAGUAUCUUGAUGAAUGUGCACUAGACCCUUCUCUGAGCGGCAUGAACAACUUUCCAAUCUUCUAAAAAGCAUGAGGUAACAUCUUUACAUCCUUCUCUAAGCAGCAUAUGUUGUUACCUCAUGCUUUUUAGAAGAUUGGAAAGUUGUUUCAUGCUGCUUAGAGAAGGGUUUUGGGUUUAGUGCGCAUUCAUCAAGAUACUUCUCAAAUUACUAGUAAAAUAUGAAGAGUUUUCCGCCAGUUUGGUCUCUCUUCGGGGCACCAUACGCUCUAAGGAAAGCGGGAUGAGUGACUUGAAGAGCGUUGUGGGAGUAGUGGUUGACCUCCUCUCGUUGUGAAGAGGGAAACUCCACUGCUCUUAAAAAAAUUGGGAGGUGUCAUUCUCCUAUGUGAGUUCGGAGAUAUUGUCCUUGUUGUUGUAAUGGAAUUGACACUUCCCAUAGAGCUUGGUAUCGUUGUUUCGUUUACGGGUGCCAUCGUUGAGCUUGUCUGACAAGAUUUUGGUAUCGUUCAAGUUGUAUGACAUGAUUCUGUCUCUGCCAACAAGAGAAUAGUGUAAGGAAAAAAGACAGCAUGGUGUUAUGGCCAUUGAGAAUCAACAUUACCCCUAAUUGAAAAGCAAACGAUGUAUAUAUUUACAAGUAGAUAGGGUAUAUGAAUCGAAUGAAGGACGACCGAAGCUAAGACAUGAUAUAAGAACAUGCGAGUACGAGGACGUGCAUGUGAUGUGGAGGAUGCUCAACCCUAAUGACAGAUCAGAGACCAUUCAAUUGGGAGGAGGAGUAACGCCCAAGAGGAAACGUUUUUCCAAUUUGUUCGAUUGGAUUAAACGAGCUCCAUCGGUUUGCCGUGCCUUCUGAUUUCUGAUGUGUUUUUGGAUCAUAUAUAUGUCAAUAUUCUACCAUGUUUCAGCUCACAAAUCGUUUUCUGGAAAUUAUGGUGGAAGUUAUAUUUUGGUAUCUGUUUCGUCUUCUUCCAAUGACGUCAGUGGUCGGCGGCCGGCCUGUGUUUUGUAGAUAUCAACGGUUCAUAUGUGUAUUCUCUCUUCUUGUUAUUAAAUAAACUUAACUUGAUUGUAUGUUUGUGUA